rnacentral:rRNA from 1 species
GCAGCAGCCGCGGUAAUACGAAGGGUGCAAGCGUUACUCGGAAUUACUGGGCGUAAAGCGUGCGUAGGUGGUGGUUUAAGUCCGUUGUGAAAGCCCUGGGCUCAACCUGGGAAUUGCAGUGGAUACUGGGUCACUAGAGUGUGGUAGAGGAUAGUGGAAUUUCCGGUGUAGCAGUGAAAUGCGUAGAGAUGUGGAGGAACACCGAUGGCGAAGGCAGCCCCCUGGGCCAAUACUGACGCUCAUGCACGAAAGCGUGGGGAGCAAACAGGAUUAGAGACCCGCGAGUCCCUGUCUCUUAUACA